UGAAUGCAAUUUUUAUAAUGAAUAAAGAGCAAUGACAUUCUGAUUACAUUUUCAUCUGCUAAGUCAAAACUGUAGGAAGACAGAACAGAUCAGUAGUUACCUGGGGUUAGGGAUCUGGAGACAGAUUUACACAAAGCAGUGGGAUGCACUUUGAAGGUAGAACAAAGGGCAGCAGGAGAAAAUGUUUAGGAAUGAUGAAACUGUUCUGUAACUUGAUGGUGAUGAGACUUACGUGCUUCCAUGCAGUGGUCAAAACUGAGACAACUAUACACCCAAAACCGUAGAUUUUACUAUAUGUAAAAUAAAAACUAACAAAAGAAAAAAAAAUUAAGGAAAGUAAAGAAAGAAGAGGCUUAUGGAUACUAAAACAAAAGAAGAGUCGGCAGACAGUAGAGUCCAAUGAUCUUGAAAAUACUCCUAAGGAGAGAUGACCAACAGGUCAACUGGAAGAAGAGGAGAUGAUGGUUAGCAAGCAACAUGCUUAUCUUAAUGAGACUGGAGGUGAAGCAGCUAUCAGUGCUGACAAAUCAGGCUGGGACAUUGGAAAUGGAAAAUCAAGAGGGUCAUAGAGAAACAAAUGCAUCUUCUGGGAAGGAGCGGACAGCACAAUUAGGUGAGAAGGGAUCACUUCCUAGGUGUUUUGGGAGGUUUGUUUAAUUAACCAACAUCCCCACUUAUUUGCAGCCAUCAAUACUAUGUCCUAGAGACAGUUUCCAUGUGAUAGGAUGAGUAUUGGGACUGUCUGUCAGGAGAAAGAAUCUGAGUGAUGGUACUCUCCUGUAGAUUCUAGGUGUCUUAGACUCUCCUUAUCUUUCCAAACUUUCGUUUUCUCAAUUUAAUGUGACAUAAUUCCCAUCUACUGCUGAAAUGUUUAGUAGGAUUGAAAAUAAAUAUGUAUGUAUGAAGAGUUGUGUAAGUGGUGACAUGCUGAGCAGGUGGAAGCCUGUGUUCCCGGCACUGGCGUUAGAGGAGGAAUUUGAGCAGGCUGGGAUAUUUUUCUUUC
rnacentral:lncRNA from 1 species